rnacentral:lncRNA from 1 species
CAGCCCUGUAGGAGACACCUCCAGAGAAAGUAACAGCUCUCAAUUGAUUAGCUGAGAAGCCUCAGGGGCUGGAUCCUGACAUGAACCAGACACCUCCAGAAUUCUAUCCCAAGCAAAAGAUUAUUUCAAGGCCAGAACUCACUCCCUGCUGGAGACUGACUACAAGAUCCACUGAGAUUGAUUUGUAACCUGAUUGGGCCCACAGUGAUGCUAGCCCCUUCACCAGAUGGAACAAUAAUUCCAGACAAGCCAUCAGAGCAGGUCACACCACUUGACACCUUCUCGCCCCCUUGCCUCUCCUGCAUUCCAAACCCCUCUCUUUAAAAUCCCCAUGUUCCCUCCGUAAACUGGACAGUGCCAAUUGUUGGAAAUAAUUCUGGCACUCUUUUCCUUCUUAGCAUGGAUAAAAAGAUUCACCCUCUUUUUAUCACACCUCACUCUUGUUAUUUUGGCUUCUUUCUACAAGUGGUGAGCAACCGGGCCCCCUUUGCUGGUUAUAGUAUGAACUAUUUUUUUUUUUUAAUCUACAAUAAAAUAAAAUACAUUCAUUAGAUUUCAGAGUGGUGUUUAAUGGUUUAAGAAAAACUAGUUUUACAUUUGCAACUUGAAUAUAUUAGAUAUUAUUAAAAGCACCACAAUUGUUAAGUACUGCAGUACCUUUUCAUCUUUGAAAGCCCUUUAGAACAUUUGAAAACUCCACUGGCAUAGUUGAUACCUUUCUGGCUGUCUUUUCCCCC